GUAAGAUGCAGAAUUAUUUUUGCAAUAUGUUCCUGAAUAUGUAAUAUAAGUGUAUUGGGAUCAUUUUGCAUCCAUAGUUUUGUAUCAACAUA
rnacentral:pre_miRNA from 1 species